rnacentral:rRNA from 1 species
GAUGAACGCUGGCGGCGUGCCUAAUACAUGCAAGUCGAGCGAACGGACGAGAAGCUUGCUUCUCUGAUGUUAGCGGCGGACGGGUGAGUAACACGUGGAUAACCUACCUAUAAGACUGGGAUAACUUCGGGAAACCGGAGCUAAUACCGGAUAAUAUUUUGAACCGCAUGGUUCAAAAGUGAAAGACGGACUUGCUGUCACUUAUAGAUGGAUCCGUGCUGCAUUAGCUAGUUGGUAAGGUAACGGCUUACCAAGGCAACGAUGCAUAGCCGACCUGAGAGGGUGAUCGGCCACACUGGAACUGAGACACGGUCCAGACUCCUACGGGAGGCAGCAGUAGGGAAUCUUCCGCAAUGGGCGAAAGCCUGACGGAGCAACGCCGCGUGAGUGAUGAAGGUCUUCGGAUCGUAAAACUCUGUUAUUAGGGAAGAACAUAUGUGUAAGUAACUGUGCACAUCUUGACGGUACCUAAUCAGAAAGCCACGGCUAACUACGUG